AGUAUACUUUUGGCUAAUAAUGAAGGUCUUAAGAAUCAUGGGUAUUCUGUUGUUGGCGUAUCUUUAUUGUUUGUUGCUAACGCAAAGCAAAGAUGGUACAAUUUGCAUAAAGGCCUGCCAUAUCCCAUACUAGGACCGACCAUUUAAAGUGAAACCUCGCAAUAAAGUUCCUUUGUAAUGCUGUCUACGUCGAGAAUCUUUAAAAUCCAUCGUAAGGUUUGUUGAGUUAUGGCCAAGUGUAUAGCUUUAAUCUGAGAGAUGGCUAUGGCAAUCAGAUAGAAAUCAGAAGCAGUGAAUAAGACAGGAAAUAUGUGAAAGAAUUAAUCCUAUCUGAAUCUGAAUGCUAAAGAUGUAUCUUAACUACUUAUCAAAAUUUCGAAAACUGCUAAAAACUAAAUUGAACAUUCUAACUCAUUGACUAUCAUUUGAAGCUUGCCAAUUCUAGUCCAUCAAAGGUUUACUUUUCUAUAGUUCUUCGAAUCUGAAAUCGUUAUCAAUGGCUUUCAAUACUAUGGCGGUUCAUUCACAACCGAUUGGGCCAAUUUGUCAGUCAACUGUUCAUUCAAAAAUCGAGAUGUGUUAACAUGUAAAUUGAUAUCUCAAAAUUGUUCACUGCCUUAACGAUUGAGAACGAACUAAAGUUGAGUUAAAAUUUACGAUCGUCGGAAGAGGCAAAAGAAAGAUGCAAAUAAACCUAUUUACAUACCAUAUAUGCGAU
ensembl:ncRNA lncRNA:CR44577 long non-coding RNA:CR44577